CACGGGUAUUGACUUAUUAACCUGUAACUACCAUGCUAUUGGUGUUACCUCCUAGUCUGAAAUCCUGUUUGUAGUUACACCUCAAUCAUGUAAGCAGAGCAGUCCCUACACAACUCAUGCUCCUUUUCUUGCCACAUUCCCUACCUACAGAUGAUGUAAAGAUGACGUGAUUGCCCUCUUCAUGUGGUGCUUUCCAGCUCCAAGACUUGCAGUGCUCCUGCCAAGUUAAUCAACUCGUUCACCUCCUCCAAAAUCUCAACCAUCUCCAAAGCUCCUUUAAUAAAACAGAUGGGAGAUGUCAGAGAAAAGGCUUUUCUUCCUGAAAAAUGUGAUUCUGCUAAUAUCUUCUGUGGGAGAUGAGUUUGGGAAGAGCCUGGUGAGCCUGCCCCAGGAUCGUGGAGCAUCCAACAGCACCGGAGCCGUGCUCCCAGGUGGACAGAUGGGCUCUGCCUGCUUCCCGUGGCUGAGCUUGCUGCUUCUCAGUGGCCUCGCUCUGCGGCCAGGUAUUGCUGCGCCAACAGGUGACCCUGCUGAAGAGACAAAAGGCUUUUCCUCUAACAAUACACGUGUGACAGUUUAUCGUUGUAAAGAUUGUGACAGCAAAAUUUGCCAAUUAUCCAAUUAUGAGAUCUUUGAUAAAAUUGGAGAAACUAAAAAUGGGACAUUAUCAAAUGACAUAAUUCAGUUGGUGACCACUGAAACUCACAUCAUUAUGUGCUUUCAGCAAGAAAUUAAGUAUCUUAAUGAAGUUUAUGCCAUCUUCUGGCAGGAAGACUGGGGAAUAGGAGAAUCCUGUGGCAACCUGGAGCUUGGAGAAAAUGAGGUGCAUCACAUCACAGAGGAGGAGAAAAUCUGCUGUGCAGUAGAGGCAGAAGAAAUCCAACCACAAGUGGCUAACCUGAACUGCUACGUUGAAAAUAAGAAAAGCUCAAUAUACCAGACCCCCGAUAAUAUAACUCCAGAUAAUCCAACAGAUCCAGACAGCAGCAAGACAAUUGGCAUCACUGCCACUUUCCUGAUUCUUGGGGUUUGUGCAGCAGCACUGGCACUGUACUGUGUUCAAAGAACCCGAAGUGGUCAAGGACGUGUCGUAGUGCUCUAUCAGAUUUUUAAAGUGAAUGGAGAGAGACAGCUGUCUUCAGAAGGUGCUAUAAAACCCAAUCAGGCUUGUGAAAGUGGAAGGUCACAGCCAUUUGAAGCAUCAUCUACAAAUGAGACAAACCAGGCCCUUAUGCCAGCAGCAUCCUCAAACAAAGUCUAG
rnacentral:lncRNA from 1 species